rnacentral:lncRNA from 1 species
GGAGUUCACAUACUUGUUAGAAGCUUCAAGAGUUGAUUUGGGAGUGUUUGGAGUGAAGAAAAAUUCAUUUGUUCACAAGAGGGCAUUCUAAGAUUUUACUAGUAUAAAAUUGUUUUAGUGAUUUUAAGCACAUAGAGAUUCCUUUUUUUGAUAUUUUUUGAUAGACCUCUUCUAAGACAUGGCUUCAAGUAAGGGUGACGGUUUGAGAGUGAUUGAGAAGUUUAGAGGUGACAAUUUCUACCAUUGGAAGGUCAAAAUGGAACUUUUGUUGGCAUCUUUGGACCUUUCGGACAUCGUAGAUGAAAGUGAAGAGCCUCUAAGCAUGUAUGCUAAUGCUAAAGAGGCGAAGGACUUCACAAGACGUGAAAAGAAGGCUUUU